UGUUUUUCUGGAGGAAGAGCAAUAAAGUUCGUGGCCACAGAGGUGCUGGUGGGAUGGAUGCGGUUCUGGAUCUGAGCUCUAAUCACAAUUGCAGCAGCUGUACCCAGAGGACCAGUGCUGGAUCCCCACUCUGGGGAAGGCAAUGGCUGUGCACCCUGGAGCUCAUGUUCACUGGGGAUCUGCAGGUAGAGCCGGAGUUGGGGUGCAGCCAAGUUCUGCUGCCGCAGAGGAAGGGGAACCUGGCCGUGUUCAUCGCACCACAGAGGGACAGCCU
rnacentral:lncRNA from 1 species